GACGAACGCUGGCGGCGUGCUUAACACAUGCAAGUCGAGCGAGGCCCUACCUUCGGGUGGGUGUCCUAGCGGCGAACGGGUGAGUAACACGUGGGCAACCUGCCCUCAGCUCUGGGAUAACUCCAAGAAAUUGGGGCUAAUACCGGAUAUGACUGCUGACCGCAUGGUCUGGUGGUGGAAAGAUUUAUCGGCUGGGGAUGGCCCGCGGCCUAUCAGCUUGUUGGUGGGUAGGGCCUACCAAGGCGACGACGGGUAGCCGGCCUGAGAGGGUGACCGGCCACACUGGGACUGAGACACGGCCCAGACUCCUACGGGAGGCAGCAGUGGGGAAUAUUGCGCAAUGGGCGGAAGCCUGACGCAGCGACGCCGCGUGGGGAUGACGGCCU
rnacentral:rRNA from 1 species